GAGGGAGUAAUGGUAAUAGAGGGAGUAAUGGGAACAGAGGAAGUGUAAGGGAAGAUAGGUACUAUCCAGCAGCGCAAAGGUCCCGCGAUAGAGAAGGUAGGGACUUUGUGGGAUUGGCUGACACGGUCAUGGAGGACUAUUGAUACCGACCGGGCUCCAUCCCCCUUGGUCGAGCGGAGCCUAUGGUCGAUGUAUCAAUAGGGGGAAAAAGGAGUGCGUUUAUGAUCGACACUGGUGCUGAACAUUCGGUGGUGA